GAUGAACGCUGGCGGCGUGCCUAAUACAUGCAAGUCGAGCGAACAGACGAGGAGCUUGCUCCUCUGAUGUUAGCGGCGGACGGGUGAGUAACACGUGGAUAACCUACCUAUAAGACUGGGAUAACUUCGGGAAACCGGAGCUAAUACCGGAUAACAUGUUGAACCGCAUGGUUCAACAGUGAAAGACGGUCUUGCUGUCACUUAUAGAUGGAUCCGCGCCGCAUUAGCUAGUUGGUAAGGUAACGGCUUACCAAGGCAACGAUGCGUAGCCGACCUGGGAGGGUGAUCGGCCACACUGGAACUGAGACACGGUCCAGACUCCUACGGGAGGCAGCAGUAGGGAAUCUUCCGCAAUGGGCGAAAGCCUGACGGAGCAACGCCGCGUGAGUGAAGAAGGUCUUCGGAUCGUAAAACUCUGUUAUUAGGGAAGAACAAAUGUGUAAGUAACUAUGCACGUCUUGACGGUACCUAAUCAGAAAGCCACGGCUAACUACGUG
rnacentral:rRNA from 1 species